CGGGAAAGAGUCGCAUAAACACAUGACGAUGUCGAGCGGCAGCGGGAAAGUAGCUUGCUACUUUUGCCGGCGAGCGGCGGACGGGUGAGUAAUGCCUGGGAAAUUGCCCAGUCGAGGGGGAUAACAGUUGGAAACGACUGCUAAUACCGCAUGCGCCCUACGGGGGAAAGCAGGGGACCUUCGGGCCUUGCGCGAUUGGAUAUGCCCAGGUGGGAUUAGCUAGUUGGUGAGGUAAUGGCUCACCAAGGCGACGAUCCCUAGCUGGUCUGAGAGGAUGAUCAGCCACACUGGAACUGAGACACGGUCCAGACUCCUACGGGAGGCAGCAGUGGGGAAUAUUGCACAAUGGGGGAAACCCUGAUGCAGCCAUGCCGCGUGUGUGAAGAAGGCCUUCGGGUUGUAAAGCACUUUCAGCGAGGAGGAAAGGUCAGUAGCUAAUAUCUGCUGGCUGUGACGUUACUCGCAGAAGAAGCACCGGCUAACUCCGUGCCAGCAGCCGCGGUA
rnacentral:rRNA from 1 species